GCUGGGCAUGGUGGCUCAUGCCUGUAAUCCCAGCACUUUUGGAGGCCGAGGCGGGUGGAUCACCUGAGGUCAGGAGUUCAAGACCAGCCUGGCCAACAUGGUGAAACCCCGUCUCUA
ensembl:misc_RNA Metazoa_SRP Metazoan signal recognition particle RNA